GCUAGGUAGUGCAGUUGGUAGCACUGUUGCCUUGCAGCAAGAAUGUCCUAAGUUCAACUCUCAGCCUAGGGUUUUUCUGCA